AGCGAACGCUGGCGGCGUGCCUAACACAUGCAAGUCGAACGUGAAAAGGGAAACCUGAGUAAAGUGGCGUACGGGUGAGUAACGCGUAGGUAAUCUACCCCAGAAUCUGGAAUAACCUGCCGAAAGGCGGGCUAAUACUGGAUAGAGCGAGGGAACUCGUAAGAGAGUUUUUCGGGAAAGGGAGCCCGCAAGGGCCUUCGUUCUGGGAUGAGCCUGCGUCUCAUUAGCUAGUUGGUAAGGUAACGGCUUACCAAGGCGAUGAUGAGUAGCUGGUCUGAGAGGAUGGUCAGCCACCCUGGGACUGACACCCGGUCCAGACUCCUACGGGAGGCAGCAGUGGGGAAUCUUGCGCAAUGGGCGGAAGUCUGACGCAGCCACGCCGCGUGAGUGAAGAAGGCCUUCGGGUUGUAAAGCUCUGUCGGAUGGGACGAACAUCUUCAUAGUGAAUAGCUAUGAGGACUGACGGUACCAUCAAAGGAAGCACCGGCUAACUCCGUG
rnacentral:rRNA from 1 species